GCUUGGGUGGCUCAGUUGGUUAAGCGUCUGAUUUCAGCUCAGAUCAUGAUCUUAUGGUUCGUGAGUUUGAGCCCCACAUCAGGCU
rfam:Felis catus isolate Cinnamon breed Abyssinian chromosome E3, whole genome shotgun sequence.